rnacentral:rRNA from 1 species
GACGAACGCUGGCGGCGUGCCUAAUACAUGCAAGUCGAACGCUGAAGGAGGAGCUUGCUUCUCUGGAUGAGUUGCGAACGGGUGAGUAACGCGUAGGUAACCUGCCUGGUAGCGGGGGAUAACUAUUGGAAACGAUAGCUAAUACCGCAUAAGAGUAGAUGUCGCAUGACAUUUGCUUAAAAGGUGCAAUUGCAUCACUACCAGAUGGACCUGCGUUGUAUUAGCUAGUUGGUGAGGUAACGGCCCACCAAGGCAACGAUACAUAGCCGACCUGAGAGGGUGAUCCGCCACACUGGGACGGAGACACGGCCCAGAAUCCUACGGGAGGCAGCGGUAGGGAAUUUUCGGGAAUGGACGGAAGCCUGACCGAGCAACGCCGCGUGAGUGAAGAAGGUUCUCGGAUGGUAAAGCUCUGUUGUAAGCGAAGAACGAGUGUGGGAGUGAAAAGUUCACACUGUGACGGUAUCUUACCAGAAAGGGACGGCUAACUACGUG